rnacentral:lncRNA from 1 species
CCAGCCUCUUGGGUCAUGUAGUGACUCUCAAUAGGUGAUGGGGGGUGGGGAAGACAGCUUCGGAAGCCCACCUGGCAAAAAAUCCACACUGGGGGCGAGAGAUAAACCGGCACAUUCCCCAGACUGACCCACUAGGCUUCUUUCAUAACUUACUGGCAAUGAGCUGAGGAAGCUGUGAGUCUGGGAGUUAUUGAUUUUCUCUCAUCAUCAAAAUUCCUGCUUUUGGUGAGGGAACCAAUGCCAAGUAAGCACAGAACCUGUCUUCUCUCUGGACCAGAGCAGCUCAUGCCCCUUCAGAAAAACAGGCCUGGUGCAGUGGCAGAGUGAGAGCUCAGCGGCAGUGGGCAGAGAACUUCAGUCACAGGGUCCUCAUUUCUCAAAAGGCACAACAGUCUCUUUCAAGAUUGUUGUGAAGAUGUGAGGAUUAAGUGAGAUAAAAAUAAAGCCCCUACAGCAUUCCACGCUUAGGGGAGAGCAGUUUCGCCUGACUGUGCUGUACAUUCCAUCCCCAUGAGUUUCAAUAAAACUUAUCCAAGAAGCUGCAUGUUGUCAAGAGAUGCAUCAAAGCAGUGAAGAUCCACACACUGGUAGGUCCAAUUCAUGUGUACUGUGCAAUGAAAGCAAGGCAGCAUCUUAAUUUCCCAGGGCUUCUGCUAAAUGCCACUAAUAAUUUAUUUUGAAAUGCUAGAAAAUGCCGUCAUUAGUUUUAACCAAGGAAAAUAGCAACCUGCGUCACUACAAUUGUCGAGCGAUUUGAGGAGCUACGGGUUGCGUAGGAUGACUGAGCACUCUUAUUAGGAAGAGAAGUCUCAUCCUAGGCCACCCAAUGGCUGAACGCCAUGGAGCAUCCCACCAUGGAGGAAUAAGGGUUCACACUGGACUCAUAGCAUGCACAUGCAUGCAUACAGUAGAAAAAGUUAUUACUUAGCAUUUUCAUGGAGGUUUAGAACUGGAAAUAACUAUAGAGAACUAUAUAGAAGUCCUAAAAAUCACCUAAUCCAAUGAUCCACCUAAUGCUUGAAAUGGUUAGAUGAAAUGAGAGCUGAGGAUCCUUUCAUUUUAAUAUUCUAUGGCUCUUUAAUAAAGCAUAUUAUUUUCUUACAGACAUUGUCAGUGCCCAGUCACCCACCUUGCGAUUUGCCUGAUAUUCAGUCAAUGAAUUCUAAGACUUUCCAAACAGACUAGGGGUACUUAACUUAGGUUCCACACAAUUCAGAGAUUUAAGACUCUGAAAUAUUAUGCAAAAUCAGUGUGUGCCUUUUACUGGAGAGCAGGCACACAAUUUCCAUUAGCUCCUCAAGGGGUCUAUAUAUAGACCAAAAAAAUACACUUCUAAGAACCAUGUUAUCAACAGGUACAGUGGCCAAAAUAUACCAGUGUAGGUGCCCUUUUGGGAAUCAGUAUAUGAUGCCUAUGUGGAAAAUAAAAUAAGCUCUGAGACAUUCACAAAUAACAAGCUUCACUAGCCUCGUGCAGAAAAAUUUGGAGUUCACUGCCCAGUUGUUUGCUUUAACACAGACACGCAACAGGCACCAACACCAAAAAGCAGUGCUCUCCUGGUUUUAUGCUGAGUUUUGUGUUUCGAACAUGAGUAGCAAUAGCUCACUCUUGAUGAUGGCUCUUCCAUCCAUUCAGAGCACAUUAUUUUAUCCCUAAUGAUAGAGAUAUUAAAUACCGGAAGUACAAUAAAAAGUACAACAGAUUUGGCGUCAGCUCCAAGAUCAAAUUCAAGUUCAUAAUUUAUUACCUCGAUGCCUUGGACAAGUCAUUUAACCUCUCAGCCCAGGUGGGCUUCAGCUUCCUCACCUGGAAAGUACAGGUAUUAAUGGCAACCACACAGGGUUGCUCUGAGGGCCAACGAAAUAGUGCACAGAACAUAACCUAAAACAUUGCCAAGGAUGUAGUAGACGACAAAGCUAGAAAUGAAAUGUUCUUAUCCCAUUGAAAACCACUGAGAGCAGAUGAAGAUUUACAAAGAUUAUUCAGCAACAGCUACAGGAUCUCUUAAAGUCUGAGGGGCAGAAUUUCAACAGAUACUAUAGUCUAGCGGGUGAUACAGACAUCUGUUCAUUCAAUAAGCGUUUAAGAACCACUGUGUGCCAGGGAUACAGUGAUGAAUAGGCAAACAAUCUAGUAACCAUAUAAAUAAAUGAAGAAUAAAAUUGUGACGAGCUCUCAAGGGAAAGAUUACUGACGCCCCCGAGAUUUUGAGGUAGUGAGGAGUCACAGAGUCAUGGAGGAAGGAAUGCUUGGCCUGAGAGCUGAAGGAUAAGUGAGUGGGCUCCAAUUAGGACAGGGGGAAGGGAGAAUUCCAGGUCAAUGAUUUUGGUAGUGAAGGGAAAGAGAGAUAGAAGGGAGAGAUAUAAGGCAAUAGCUAGAGAUGAGCAAUCAAAUUAGGAAUCAUUAGUAUUGGAAGUUUUGAAUGAAAUACUAAAGCAAUGGAUGGAACAUUCCACCAUGAUGCAAAAUGAUCAAGGGAGGUCUUCUGAAACCAGUUGCAUAAUCUUUUUUUUAACCUUUCACCAUACUGAAUAGAAAGAGGUCGGGGGUUAUUGGAGAUGAGGUGAAGGAUUUGAGAGAGAGUUGUUGAUGUACUUUGACUCUAUCCCCCACCUCGGCGGGGGGCAGCAGGAAGCAUGGAGGAUUCCUCCCUCCUCUCAAACGUAGGGAAAGGAGCUUCCCAAGGCAACUGGGAAAGCUUCAUCCUAGUCCCCCUAGUGUUCAGGAAAGAGAGAGGAUGGUGUCUGACCUGCUUUGUGGUCAGCCAGCUGCUCUGCUGGGGCAGCAAAUGCGUGGCUGGUGCUGCAGGGGAUUCGCCCACACUCCUAGAAGAUCCUAAGAGGCACAGCCCAGACCAGUCUAAGCCUCCAGGAUUGAACCCCUGGCUCCAGGAGGAAGAUGAAGGCACUCACUGAGCCCUUCUGAGUACAAGAGCCUUACUAGCCACUCUAGCUUCCAGGGACCGUCUCCCAAGCUUCUCAGAGAGAACCAGAAAAAUACAGCGAAGAUAGCAUUUCAUCAAUACCAUCUAAAGCCAUCUUGUGUAGUCUCUGCUGUCUGAACAUUCAUGAGGGGAAAAUUGCAGCAAAGCAGACGGUCACCACAGGCAUUGAAAUAUGACCAUGAUGAUACAGACAGAGGUAUCAGAUAUUUUAAGGUUUGGGGUGAUUUUUUGGGUAAAGUUGUUGUGGUUUUUUGUUUGUUAUUAAAAUAGCUAUCAGGAAAGGGAUCUCGUUUUUUAACACAGUUCAUUUCUCCAUAGCAGCAAAGUCAAAGGGAAUUAUAAUGGCAGGAGAUGGAAUACACUGCAAGGAAGGUCCAAACGUUACUCUCACUUUUGUAAAAAUGUCCUUUUUGGUGUUGCAUUCCACCUACGUCCCUGGGAAAAGAUGUCUACAUCUCAAGAACAGCUAAUACAUGACCUCUCUAAUAUUAUUAUGAC